rnacentral:rRNA from 1 species
UACAGAGGUCUCUAGCGUUGUUCGGAUUCAUUGGGCGUAAAGGGUGUGUAGGUGGCGCCGUAAGUCGGGUGUGAAAUUUCGGAGCUUAACUCCGAAACUGCAUUCGAUACUGCGGUGCUUGAGGACUGGAGAGGAGACUGGAAUUCAUGGUGUAGCAGUGAAAUGCGUAGAGAUCAUGAGGAAGACCAGUGGCGAAGGCGGGUCUCUGGACAGUUCCUGACACUGAGACACGAAGGCCAGGGGAGCAAACGGG